ACUCCUACGGGAGGCAGCAGUGGGAAUAUUGGACAAUGGGCGCAAGCCUGAUCCAGCAAUACCGCGUGAGGGAUGAAGGUCCUCGGAUCGUAAACCUCUGUCAGUUGGAACGAUGGGUCUAAAGGUUAAUACCCUUUAGACUUGACGGUACCUUCAAAGGAAGCCCCGGCUAACUCCGUGCCAGCAGCCGCGGUAAUACGGAGGGGGCAAGCGUUGCUCGGAAUUACUGGCGUAAAGGGUCCGCAGGUGGCUUUGUAAGUUAGAUGUGAAAUCUCAGGGCUC
rnacentral:rRNA from 1 species